rnacentral:rRNA from 1 species
UGGGGAAUAUUGGACAAUGGGCGCAAGUCUGACCCAGCCAUGCCGCGUGCAGGAUGAAGGCCUUCUGGGUUGUAAACUGCUUUUAUCUAGGAAGAAAAAACCCCUGCGGGGGGAACUGACGGUACUAGGUGAAUAAGCACCGGCUAACUCCGUGCCAGCAGCCGCGGUAAUACGGAGGGUGCAAGCGUUGUCCGGAUUUAUUGGGUUUAAAGGGUGCGUAGGCGGCUUUAUAAGUCCGUGGUGAAAGCCAACAGCUCAACUGUUGAACUGCCAUGGAUACUGUAAGGCUUGAGUACAGACGAGGUAGGCGGAAUGGAUGGUGUAGCGGUGAAAUGCAUAGAUACCAUCCAGAACCCCGAUUGCGUAGGCAGCUUACUAGGCUGUAACUGACGCUGAGGCACGAAAGCGUGGGGAGCGAA